rnacentral:rRNA from 1 species
GAUGAACGCUGGCGGCGUGCCUAAUACAUGCAAGUCGAGCGAAUGGAUUAAGAGCUUGCUCUUAUGAAGUUAGCGGCGGACGGGUGAGUAACACGUGGGUAACCUGCCCAUAAGACUGGGAUAACUCCGGGAAACCGGGGCUAAUACCGGAUAACAUUUUGAACCGCAUGGUUCGAAAUUGAAAGGCGGCUUCGGCUGUCACUUAUGGAUGGACCCGCGUCGCAUUAGCUAGUUGGUGAGGUAACGGCUCACCAAGGCAACGAUGCGUAGCCGGCCUGAGAGGGGGAUCGGCCACACUGGGACUGGGACACGGCCCAGACUCCUACGGGAGGCAGCAGUAGGGAAUCUUCCGCAAUGGACGAAAGUCUGACGGGGCAACGCCGCGUGAGUGAUGAAGGCUUUCGGGUCGUAAAACUCUGUUGUUAGGGAAGAACAAGUGCUAGUUGAAUAAGCUGACACCUUGACGGUACCUAACCAGAAAGCCACGGCUAACUACGUGCCAGCCGCCGCAGUAA